UUUUUAAUAUUAAGACAAGAUAAAAGAAACAUAUUAAAGAACUGUAAACACUGACUGUCUGCCUCCUGCUUGUGUAUUGGAUUUGGGAUUGAUUUUUGACACUAUCUCCUUCUUCUAGAUGUUAACAGGGUGAACAGGCAGUGGCUCUGGUGGCUAAUGUCCUUGAUGAUCUUCUAGAUGUUAGCAGGGUGAACAGGCCGUGGCUCUGGUGGUUAAUGUUCUGAUGAUCUUCUAGAUGUUAACAGUGUGAACAGGCAGUGGCUCAGGUGGUUAAUGUUCCUGAUGAUCUUCUAGAUGUUAGCAGGGCGAACAGGCCGUGGCUCAGGUGGUUAAUGUUCUGAUGAUCUUCUAGAUGUUAGCAGGGUGAACAGGCCGUGGCUCAGGUGGUUAAUGUUCUGAUGAUCUUCUAGAUGUUAGCAGGGUGAACAGGCAGUGGCUCAGGUGGUUAAUGUUCUGAUGAUCUUCUAGAUGUUAGCAGGGUGAACAGGCAGUGGCUCAGGUGGUUAAUGUUCUGAUGAUCUUCUAGAUGUUAGCAGGGUGAACAGGCAGUGGCUCAGGUGGUUAAUGUUCUGAUGAUCUUCUAGAUGUUAGCAGGGUGAACAGGCCGUGGCUCUGGUGGCUGAGGUCCUUGAAGAUCUUCUUGACCUUCCUGUGACACCAGGUUCUGUAGGUGUCCUGGAGGGCAGGCAGUGUGCCCCCAAUGAUGCGUUGGGCUGACCGUAUCACCCUCUGGAGAGCCCUGCGAUUGCGGACGGUGCAGUUGCUCGACAGAAUGUGACAGAAGCUCGACAGAAUGUGCUCAAUGGUGCAUCUGUAGAA
rnacentral:lncRNA from 1 species